UAAUUGCAAAGAACCGGCGAAUUUCAGCAUAUCAAGCGCAGGGCAUUUCUGAACUCUUCAGCAUGUUUCCGAACUGGAGCAGCCUUUGUUUAUGGCGAUGCUGUGUCUUUGAACUUACAAGUUGAAGUACACCUUGUGUUUUCAGCCAUGAAUCAUCUUUGUAGUUCUUGAGAAUUCCCACCUUGAACACGGGAUAAGAAAUGGUGCCUUCUAUCUUCGUUGUUUCCACUGUUAGCUGAGUGCUUUGAAAAUCCGACUUGUUCUGUCCGUGCAUAA